rnacentral:lncRNA from 1 species
CAAUCAGCGAGACUCCAUGGGCGUAGGACCCUCUGAGCCAGAGGCUGAGUAGUCUCAAGAUCUGAAGACAGCAGAAACCUGGGAAAGUUAAUGAUAUACGUUGUUAUACUCCAAGUGUGAGUCUGAAGACAAGGGAAGACCAACGUCCAAGCUUGAAGACAGUCAGAUAGAAUCAUUCUGCAGCCUGGCUAAGGAUGAAGAUAACUGAUAAACUAUUAUAUACCAAAAAGAUGUUGACAUGGAAAUUUUACCAAGCCUCCACCCCCAGAGUUAGGGUUGUUCGAAAGAGUAUCUCUUGUCUAGAGCUAUGGCUAUGUCACAAGCAAAAGAGCUGAAGGUUGAAAGGUAAAUAAGCACAAAGGAAUCAUCAGUACAAAGAGAGACUGUGACAAGACUAGACAAUUCUAUUCAAAAUUUUGAGAACUGGAGUAUAACAAAUGAGAAUGAAGAAACCAAUGAUGGAAACAUCAAGAUGAGGCCCAAUGGACCAUUAGGAGGUGGGUCUAUAAAAACUCUGAAGACAACACCAUGCUACUUGUUGCUGGCUUCUGUAUGUUAUUUCUGACACAAUGCUUAGGCAGUCUUGCUCCACUAAGAAAAAGCUGGUAGAACACAUAUAGACACUAAUAAUACGUUAAUUAUAUUAAAAAUAGGGGGCUUAUUUUAAAAUACAACUUAACUAAUAGAGUGAAAACAAUACACUGGUUGUCGUUAAACUUCCCCUUUUCUUCAUUCAUCAAAAGUGUAUCUACUGAAUACCUAACAUAAAGAAAUCAUUUAUACUGGGGUAAAUUACACAUCAAUCUAAACUUCCAGAAAAUUUUAUUCAUUAUAUAAAGUUAAAUAAGGUUGUAAAUAUCUAGAGUCCAAGGUGAAUGUGGUAUAUAUCAUAAGCGAUGUACAAAAAACAUACUGUCCGGGCACUGUGACUCAGGCCUGUAAUCCCAGUACUUUGGGAGGUCAAGGUGGGAGGAUUGCUUGAGCCCAGGAGUUUGAAACCAGCCUGGCCAACAGGGCGAAAUCCCAUCUCUACAAAAAAUACAAACAUUUGUCGGGUAUGGUGGUGCAGGACUGUAGUCCUACCUAUUCUGGAGGCUGAGGCGGGAAGAUCACUUGAUCCUAGGAGGCAG